AAGUGAUGUGAUGUGCCCUGUAGUAACUGAUUUGUGAAUUUGAACUGCAAUAAAGCAGCAUCUAGUUCGAAGGGAUUUACAAGAUAUCUGCUCGCUUAAGGCAAACAUUAGCUGAAGUAUUAGCUUUAGGGACACGUUUAGAGAACCGAGGAGAGUGGUAACUCUUUAAUGGCUGAUUUCUAUUGACUGAUUUCGCAGCACUUUCAUACAGCUGAUUGCUGCAGAACACAGGGAAUGUGCAGAAGUAUUGUAAUCCAUCAGGGUUUAAAGCAAAGUGCCCAGUAAAACUAGAAAUGGCUGAGGAGCUCUAUAUGUAGGCAGAUGCAUGGCAGAAAGCUUCGUAUUCAAAACUGCGCCGAUUUUUAUAUUCAGAACGCCUAUCAGGUCGAAA